GCAGCUGUAGCUCAGUUGGUUAGAGCGCUUGGUUGUGGACCAAGAGGUCGGUGGUUCGAUCCCACUCAGCUGUACCA
rnacentral:tRNA from 1 species